rnacentral:lncRNA from 1 species
GGGAGUUUAAUCAAUUGUCAAGGAAUUCCUUAACCCUACAUCCUGUAGCCACAACUCCAGGACUCUGCUCGGAGUAUUUCUCUCUACCAGGCGAUGGAUCUGGCACCUGCACGGAAUGCUAAGAUAUUCAUCUGUCUCUUCAUGCGUAGUAUGUUUAUGUAUUUUUAAUUAAAUUUACUCACUCUCUUUAUUUCAGUAAUGUCCAGAUAAUCAAUGAUUAGACCAUUGGACUUUUAGAAUAAAUUUUACAUUGAACUAUGAAUGGUUUGUCAUCUACAUUUUUAAAAAAGACGAGAUGUUUUGCCUGUGAGAAGAAGAGAGAGAGAGAAUAAGAAGCAAUCCUGCUUCUUCACAUGAAUUUUACCCGCAUGACGACGUUUUUUAAUAUAAAAAAUAUUUACAAUGUCUCAAAAAGCAAUCAAAGCUUUGAAAAAUAAACAAUGUUCGCAGAAGUUCAGUACCAACAAACUCACAAAAAAAAUGAGCCCAAAUUUAGCAUUACUUGCAAGCCCGACUAAGAAAUUUCAAGAAGAUAAUUUAAAAGAAGACAAUAGAGUAAAAUAAUAUUAACACACAAUGCUUAGCAAAUAUAGCAUUAACAGAUGGAAACCAGGCAAUAGGUGUAGCAAAAUAGAAGAUGAAGGUCUAGCUGUGCCAGUGCU